GGGGAUUUAGCUCAGUGGUAAAGCAUUUGCCUAGCAAGCGCAAGGCCCUGGGUUCGGUCCCCAGCUCCG
rnacentral:tRNA from 1 species